rnacentral:rRNA from 1 species
UUAAGCGACUAAGCGUACACGGUGGAUGCCCUGGCAGUCAGAGGCGAUGAAGGACGUGCUAAUCUGCGAUAAGCGUCGGUAAGGUGAUAUGAACCGUUAUAACCGGCGAUUUCCGAAUGGGGAAACCCAGUGUGAUUCGUCACACUAUCAUUAACUGAAUCCAUAGGUUAAUGAGGCGAACCGGGGGAACUGAAACAUCUAAGUACCCCGAGGAAAAGAAAUCAACCGAGAUUCCCCCAGUAGCGGCGAGCGAACGGGGAGGAGCCCAGAGCCUGAAUCAGUGUGUGUGUUAGUGGAAGCGUCUGGAAAGGCGCGCGAUACAGGGUGACAGCCCCGUACACAAAAAUGCACAUGCUGUGAGCUCGAUGAGUAGGGCGGGACACGUGGUAUCCUGUCUGAAUAUGGGGGGACCAUCCUCCAAGGCUAAAUACUCCUGACUGACCGAUAGUGAACCAGUACCGUGAGGGAAAGGCGAAAAGAACCCCGGCGAGGGGAGUGAAAAAGAACCUGAAACCGUGUACGUACAAGCAGUGGGAGCCUCUUUAUGGGGUGACUGCGUACCUUUUGUAUAAUGGGUCAGCGACUUAUAUUCUGUAGCAAGGUUAACCGAAUAGGGGAGCCGAAGGGAAACCGAGUCUUAACUGGGCGUUAAGUUGCAGGGUAUAGACCCGAAACCCGGUGAUCUAGCCAUGGGCAGGUUGAAGGUUGGGUAACACUAACUGGAGGACCGAACCGACUAAUGUUGAAAAAUUAGCGGAUGACUUGUGGCUGGGGGUGAAAGGCCAAUCAAACCGGGAGAUAGCUGGUUCUCCCCGAAAGCUAUUUAGGUAGCGCCUCGUGAAUUCAUCUCCGGGGGUAGAGCACUGUUUCGGCAAGGGGGUCAUCCCGACUUACCAACCCGAUGCAAACUGCGAAUACCGGAGAAUGUUAUCACGGGAGACACACGGCGGGUGCUAACGUCCGUCGUGAAGAGGGAAACAACCCAGACCGCCAGCUAAGGUCCCAAAGUCAUGGUUAAGUGGGAAACGAUGUGGGAAGGCCCAGACAGCCAGGAUGUUGGCUUAGAAGCAGCCAUCAUUUAAAGAAAGCGUAAUAGCUCACUGGUCGAGUCGGCCUGCGCGGAAGAUGUAACGGGGCUAAACCAUGCACCGAAGCUGCGGCAGCGACGCUUAUGCGUUGUUGGGUAGGGGAGCGUUCUGUAAGCCUGCGAAGGUGUACUGUGAGGUAUGCUGGAGGUAUCAGAAGUGCGAAUGCUGACAUAAGUAACGAUAAAGCGGGUGAAAAGCCCGCUCGCCGGAAGACCAAGGGUUCCUGUCCAACGUUAAUCGGGGCAGGGUGAGUCGACCCCUAAGGCGAGGCCGAAAGGCGUAGUCGAUGGGAAACAGGUUAAUAUUCCUGUACUUGGUGUUACUGCGAAGGGGGGACGGAGAAGGCUAUGUUGGCCGGGCGACGGUUGUCCCGGUUUAAGCGUGUAGGCUGGUUUUCCAGGCAAAUCCGGAAAAUCAAGGCUGAGGCGUGAUGACGAGGCACUACGGUGCUGAAGCAACAAAUGCCCUGCUUCCAGGAAAAGCCUCUAAGCAUCAGGUAACAUCAAAUCGUACCCCAAACCGACACAGGUGGUCAGGUAGAGAAUACCAAGGCGCUUGAGAGAACUCGGGUGAAGGAACUAGGCAAAAUGGUGCCGUAACUUCGGGAGAAGGCACGCUGAUACGUAGGUGAAGUCCCUUGCGGAUGGAGCUGAAAUCAGUCGAAGAUACCAGCUGGCUGCAACUGUUUAUUAAAAACACAGCACUGUGCAAACACGAAAGUGGACGUAUACGGUGUGACGCCUGCCCGGUGCCGGAAGGUUAAUUGAUGGGGUUAGCGGUAACGCGAAGCUCUUGAUCGAAGCCCCGGUAAACGGCGGCCGUAACUAUAACGGUCCUAAGGUAGCGAAAUUCCUUGUCGGGUAAGUUCCGACCUGCACGAAUGGCGUAAUGAUGGCCAGGCUGUCUCCACCCGAGACUCAGUGAAAUUGAACUCGCUGUGAAGAUGCAGUGUACCCGCGGCAAGACGGAAAGACCCCGUGAACCUUUACUAUAGCUUGACACUGAACAUUGAGCCUUGAUGUGUAGGAUAGGUGGGAGGCUUUGAAGUGUGGACGCCAGUCUGCAUGGAGCCGACCUUGAAAUACCACCCUUUAAUGUUUGAUGUUCUAACGUUGGCCCCUAAUCGGGGUUGCGGACAGUGUCUGGUGGGUAGUUUGACUGGGGCGGUCUCCUCCUAAAGAGUAACGGAGGAGCACGAAGGUUGGCUAAUCCUGGUCGGACAUCAGGAGGUUAGUGCAAUGGCAUAAGCCAGCUUGACUGCGAGCGUGACGGCGCGAGCAGGUGCGAAAGCAGGUCAUAGUGAGCCGGUGGUUCUGAAUGGAAGGGCCAUCGCUCAACGGAUAAAAGGUACUCCGGGGAUAACAGGCUGAUACCGCCCAAGAGUUCAUAUCGACGGCGGUGUUUGGCACCUCGAUGUCGGCUCAUCACAUCCUGGGGCUGAAGUAGGUCCCAAGGGUAUGGCUGUUCGCCAUUUAAAGUGGUACGCGAGCUGGGUUUAGAACGUCGUGAGACAGUUCGGUCCCUAUCUGCCGUGGGCGCUGGAGAACUGAGGGGGGCUGCUCCUAGUACGAGAGGACCGGAGUGGACGCAUCACUGGUGUUCGGGUUGUCAUGCCAAUGGCACUGCCCGGUAGCUAAAUGCGGAAGAGAUAAGUGCUGAAAGCAUCUAAGCACGAAACUUGCCCCGAGAUGAGUUCUCCCUGACUCCUUGAGAGUCCUGAAGGAACGUUGAAGACGACGACGUUGAUAGGCCGGGUGUGUAAGCGCAGCGAUGCGUUGAGCUAACCGGUACUAAUGAACCGUGAGGCUUAACCUU